GUGCCUGUAGCUCAGCUGGAUAGAGCAACGGACUUCUAAUCCGUAGGCCGGGGGUUCGAAUCCCUUCAGGCACGCCA
rnacentral:tRNA from 1 species